CCAUAGCCCCGAUUGCAGUGGAAAUCCUUUUUUGCGUUUACCAACAGUUCUAUUUAAAGGAGACGUCUUGCAAAAAAGAUUGCAACGGAAAGCGGGAAAUAGC
rnacentral:sRNA from 1 species